rnacentral:rRNA from 1 species
AGCUUGCUGGUGGAUUAGUGGCGAACGGGUGAGUAACACGUGAGUAACCUGCCCUUGACUCUGGGAUAAGCCUGGGAAACUGGGUCUAAUACCGGAUAUGACUGAUCAUCGCAUGGUGGUUGGUGGAAAGCUUUUGCGGUUUUGGAUGGACUCGCGGCCUAUCAGCUUGUUGGUGGGGUAAUGGCCUACCAAGGCGACGACGGGUAGCCGGCCUGAGAGGGUGACCGGCCACACUGGGACUGAGACACGGCCCAGACUCCUACGGGAGGCAGCAGUGGGGAAUAUUGCACAAUGGGCGAAAGCCUGAUGCAGCGACGCCGCGUGAGGGAUGACGGCCUUCGGGUUGUAAACCUCUUUCAGUAGGGAAGAAGCCGCAAGGUGACGGUACCUGCAGAAGAAGCGCCGGCUAACUACGUGCCAGCAGCCGCGGUAAUACGUAGGGCGCAAGCGUUAUCCGGAAUUAUUGGGCGUAAAGAGCUCGUAGGCGGUUUGUCGCGUCUGCCGUGAAAGUCCGGGGCUCAACUCCGGAUCUGCGGUGGGUACGGGCAGACUAGAGUGAUGUAGGGGAGACUGGAAUUCCUGGUGUAGCGGUGAAAUGCGCAGAUAUCAGGAGGAACACCGAUGGCGAAGGCAGGUCUCUGGGCAUUAACUGACGCUGAGGAGCGAAAGCAUGGGGAGCGAACAGGAUUAGAUACCCUGGUAGUCCAUGCCGUAAACGUUGGGCACUAGGUGUGGGGGACAUUCCACGUUUUCCGCGCCGUAGCUAACGCAUUAAGUGCCCCGCCUGGGGAGUACGGCCGCAAGGCUAAAACUCAAAGGAAUUUGACGGGGGCCCGCACAAGCGGCGGAGCAUGCGGAUUAAUUCGAUGCAACGCGAAGAACCUUACCAAGGCUUGACAUGAACCGGAACACGCCUGGAAACAGGUGCCCCACUUGUGGUCGGUUUACAGGUGGUGCAUGGUUGUCGUCAGCUCGUGUCGUGAGAUGUUGGGUUAAGUCCCGCAACGAGCGCAACCCUCGUUUAUGUUGCCAGCACGUGAUGGUGGGGACUCAUAGGAGACUGCCGGGGUCAACUCGGAGGAAGGUGGGGAGACGUCAAAUCAUCAUGCCCCUUAUGUCUUGGGCUUCACGCAUGCUACAAUGGCCGGUACAAAGGGUUGCGAUACUGUGAGGUGGAGCUAAUCCCAAAAAGCCGGUCUCAGUUCGGAUUGGGGUCUGCAACUCGACCCCAUGAAGUCGGAGUCGCUAGUAAUCGCAGAUCAGCAACGCUGCGGUGAAUACGUUCCCGGGCCUUGUACACACCGCCCGUCAAGUCACGAAAGUUGGUAACACCUCGAAGCCGGUGAGC